AACGCGAUAUUUAUCACUUUUUCGCAAAGUUCGACUGGACAAAAUGCAUCACAAUUGUUGUACUGGUAUCCGACACAGCAUUUGUGUCUAUUUUUCAUGUAAAGGUAAUUUUGAUGUCUAAGAUUAAAGGUAACGUUAAGUGGUUUAAUGAAUCCAAAGGAUUCGGUUUCAUUACUCCGGAAGAUGGCAGCAAAGACGUGUUCGUACACUUCUCUGCAAUCCAGACCAAUGGUUUUAAAACUCUGGCUGAAGGUCAGCGCGUAGAGUUCGAAAUCACUAACGGUGCCAAAGGCCCU
rnacentral:sRNA from 1 species